rnacentral:rRNA from 1 species
CCUACGGGUGGCAGCAGUCGAGAAUCUUUCACAAUGGGGGAAACCCUGAUGGUGCGACGCCGCGUGGGGGAAUGAAGGUCUUCGGAUUGUAAACCCCUGUCAUGUGGGAGCAAAUUAAAAAGAUAGUACCACAAGAGGAAGAGACGGCUAACUCGGUGCCAGCAGCCGCGGUAAUACAGAGGUAUCAAGCGUUGGUCGGAAUCACUGGGCGUAAAGCGUGCGUAGGCUGUUUCGUAAGUCGUGUGUGAAAGGCGGGGGCUCAACCCGCGGACGGCACAUGAUACUGCGAGACUAGAGUAAUGGAGAGGGAAGCGGAAUUCUCGGUGUAGCAGUGAAAUGCGUAGAUAUCGCGAGGAACACUCGUGGCGAAGGCAGGUUACUGGACAUCAACUGACGCUGAGGCACGAAGGCCAGGGGAGCGAACGGGAUUAGAUACCCCUGUAGUC